ACAGGAAUAGUUAGCUGCUUAGUCUCAUCCUUCAUAUUUGGCAGUCUGAGGAGAAGGUCUGAGCCAGCAUGAGGACGGAAUCCCCUCUUCAUUAGAGAAAAACUUUGUGCCCGACGCAGCUCGUUGCAAGGAGUGCACGAUGACAGAACGUGGCAUUAAAUGGGCUUGUGAGUAUUGCACCUAUGAGAACUGGCCCUCUGCAAUCAAAUGCACCAUGUGCCGUGCCCAGAGGCCCAGCGGGACCAUCAUCACGGAGGAUCCCUUCAAAAGUGGGCAGAGCGAUAUCGGCAGAGACUGGGAUCCCACCAGCACAGAGGGAGGGAGUAGUCCUUUGAUUUGUCCUGAUUCCAGUGCAAGACCAAGGGUUAAAUCCUCUUACAGCAUGGAAAGUGCAAAUAAGUGGUCGUGCCACAUGUGCACAUACUUGAACUGGCCAAGAGCGAUCAGGUGUACUCAGUGCUUGUCCCAGCGCAGGACCAGGAGCCCCACGGAGUCUCCUCAGUCCUCAGGCUCUGGCUCCAGACCUGUCCCUUUCUCCGUGGAUCCGUGUGAGGAGUACAAUGACAGGAAUAAACUGAACACAAGGGCUCAGCACUGGACUUGUUCUGUUUGUACAUAUGAAAACUGGGCCAAGGCCAGGAAAUGUGUGGUGUGUGAUCACCCAAGGCCCAACAACAUUGAAGCAAUAGAACUGGCAGACACGGAAGAGGCUUCUUCCAUCAUAAAUGAGCAGGACAGAGCUCGAUGGAGGGGAAGCUGUAGCAGUGGUAAUAGCCAAAGAAGAUCUCCACCUACAACCAAACGUGAAUCCGAGGUGAAAAUGGACUUCCAAAGAAUUGAAUUGGCUGGAGCUGUUGGCAGCAAGGAGGAGCUUGAAGUUGACUUCAAAAAACUAAAGCAAAUAAGAAACAGAAUGAAAAAGACUGACUGGCUGUUCCUAAAUGCUUGUGUGGGUAAGUUGUUUGCUGUUCCCUUUG